AUUGAACGCUGGCGGCAUGCCUUACACAUGCAAGUCGAACGGUAACAGGUCUUCGGAUGCUGACGAGUGGCGAACGGGUGCGUAAUACAUCGGAACGUGCCCGAUCGUGGGGGAUAACGAAGCGAAAGCUUUGCUAAUGCCGCAUACGAUCUACGGAUGACAGCAGGGGACCGCAAGGCCUUGCGCGAACGGAGCGGCCGAUGGCAGAUUAGGUAGUUGGUGGGAUAAAAGCUUACCAAGCCGACGAUCUGUAGCUGGUCUGAGAGGACGACCAGCCACACUGGGACUGAGACACGGCCCAGACUCCUACGGGAGGCAGCAGUGGGGAAUUUUGGACAAUGGGCGAAAGCCUGAUCCAGCCAUGCCGCGUGCAGGAUGAAGGCCUUCGGGUUGUAAACUGCUUUUGUACGGAACGAAAAGACUCUGGUUAAUACCUGGGGUCCAUGACGGUACCGUAAGAAUAAGCACCGGCUAACUACGUG
rnacentral:rRNA from 1 species